rnacentral:rRNA from 1 species
GCUCAACCAUUGUAUGCAUUGGAAACUGGUAAACUUGAGUGCUUGAGAGGAGAGUGGAAUUCCCUGUGGAACGGUGAAAUGGGUAAAUAUAUGGAGGAACACCGGGGGGGAAAGCGGCUCUCUGGCCUGUAACUGACACUGAAGCUCGAAAGCGUGGGGAGCAAACAGGAUUAAAUACCCUGGUAAUCCACGCCGUAAACGAUGAGUGCUAUAUGUAUGGAGCUAUAAAUUCUCUGUAUCGCAACUAACGCAAUAAGCACUCCGCCUGGGGAGUACGACCGCAAGGGUGAAACUCAAAGGAAUUGACGGGGGCCCGCACAAGCGGUGGAACAUGGGGUUUAAUUCCAAUCAACGCGAAAAACCUUACCAUGUCUUGACAUACUCGAGCUAUUCCUAGAGAUAGGAAAUUCCUUCCGGACACGGGAUACAGGUGGUGCAUGGUUGUCGUCAGCUCGUGUCGUGAGAUGUUGGGUUAAGUCCCGCAACGAGCGCAACCCCUAUUGUUAGUUGCCAUCAUUAAGUUGGGCACUCUAACGAGACUGCCGGUGAUAAACCGGAGGAAGGUGGGGAUGACGUCAAAUCAUCAUGCCCCUUAUGACCUGGGCUACACACGCGCUACUUGGAUGGUACAACG